rnacentral:rRNA from 1 species
UACGUAGGGUCCAAGCGUUAUCCGGAAUCACUGGGCGUAAAGCGUGCGUAGGUGGCGCGUUAAGUGUGAUGUUAAAUCGCGGGGCUCAACCCUGUCGAUGCAUCGCAUACUGGCGUGCUAGAGGGAAGCAGAGGCAAGUGGAAUUGGUAGUGUAGCAGUGAAAUGCGUAGAUAUUACCAGGAACACCAAUGGCGAAGGCAGCUUGCUGGGCUUCUUCUGACACUGAGGUACGAAAGCGUGGGGAGCGAACAGGA